rnacentral:rRNA from 1 species
AGAGUUUGAUCAUGGCUCAGAGUGAACGCUGGCGGCGUGCUUAACACAUGCAAGUCGAACGAGAACGGGUUAUAGCUUGCUAUAACUGUCAGCUAAGUGGCGCACGGGUGGGUAAUAUAUAGGUAAUGUGCCUUAGAGAAGAGAAUAAUUGUUGGAAACGACUUGUAAUGCUCUAUAUGCCCUUAAUACAAAAGUAUGCAGGGGAAAUAUUUAUAGCUCUAAGAUCGGCCUGUACGGUAUCAGCUUGUUGGUGAGGUAAUGGCUCACCAAGGCUAUGACGCCUAACUGGUUUGAGAGGAUGAUCAGUCACACUGGAACUGAGACACGGUCCAGACUCCUACGGGAGGCAGCAGUGGGGAAUAUUGCACAAUGGACGAAAGUCUGAUGCAGCAACGCCGCGUGGAGGAUGACACAUUUCGGUGCGUAAACUCCUUUUAUAUGAGAAGAAAAUGACGGUAUCAUAUGAAUAAGCGCCGGCUAACUCCGUGCCAGCAGCCGCGGUAAUACGGAGGGCGCAAGCGUUACUCGGAAUCACUGGGCGUAAAGAGCGUGUAGGCGGGUAUUUAAGUUGGAAGUGAAAUCCUAUGGCUCAACCAUAGAACUGCUUCCAAAACUGAAUACCUAGAAUAUGGGAGAGGUAGAUGGAAUUUCUGGUGUAGGGGUAAAAUCCGUAGAGAUCAGAAGGAAUACCGAUUGCGAAGGCGAUCUACUGGAACAUUAUUGACGCUGAGACGCGAAAGCGUGGGGAGCAAACAGGAUUAGAUACCCUGGUAGUCCACGCCCUAAACGAUGUACAUUAGUUGUUGCGAUGCUAGACAUUGCAGUAAUGCAGUUAACACAUUAAAUGUACCGCCUGGGGAGUACGGUCGCAAGAUUAAAACUCAAAGGAAUAGACGGGGACCCGCACAAGCGGUGGAGCAUGUGGUUUAAUUCGACGAUACGCGAAGAACCUUACCUAGCCUUGACAUUGAUUGAACACUUUAGAGAUAGAGUGGUGCCCUUCGGGGAACAUGAAAACAGGUGCUGCACGGCUGUCGUCAGCUCGUGUCGUGAGAUGUUGGGUUAAGUCCCGCAACGAGCGCAACCCUCGUCCUUAGUUGCCAGCAGGUUAAGCUGGGCACUCUAAGGAGACUGCCUUCGCAAGGAGGAGGAAGGUGAGGACGACGUCAAGUCAUCAUGGCCCUUAUGGCUAGGGCUACACACGUGCUACAAUGGGGCGUACAGAGAGUUGCGAUACCGCGAGGUGGAGCCAAUCUCAUAAAGCGUCUCUCAGUUCGGAUAGAAGUCUGCAACUCGACUUCUUGAAGCUGGAAUCACUAGUAAUCGUAGAUCAGCAAUGCUACGGUGAAUACGUUCCCGGGUCUUGUACUCACCGCCCGUCACACCAUGGGAGUUGAUUUCACCCGAAAUUGGGAAGCUAACCUUCGGGAGGCUACCACUUACGGUGGAAUUAGCGACUGGGGUGAAGUCGUAACAAGGUAACC